AGGUGGGGCCCCACAGGCUGCAACAAGUUCCUGGGUGAAGCCAGGGCUGCUGAGCCUUAGACUAUGCUUUCAGUAGCAAAGGCUGGAACAGAAUCGCUUGUCUGCAUGCAUCAUGGAUUUUUUUCAGAGCCUACCAGAAGGCAAGGGAGCAGCUGGAGCGCACACACAAAGCUCCUUUCCAUCCUCAAAAAUAGCUGUGUGUUUUUCUGGGGUGAUCUAAUAGCCUGAGCAGAGAACAUUGUGGCAAUGUCCUUAGUCAUUCAUUCUGAGCGCUUCAUUUGUUCUGGACAAUUACUCGGACUCUCUGCACUUUGAGCUCAGAACUCUCUGUCUCGUCUUGCUCUCUGUGUACUUAGUAACCAAAUAGGCGUUGAAAUUCUUUUUUCCUGCUGUCUUGAGCAGGAUAGAUUUCUCCAGAACUCUUGAGGGUGACACCAAACCAACAACUUCACAUUCUUCAAAAAUGAUCACCGUGUUGUGGUUUGGUUAAUUUAGGGAUGUGAAGGAAGGCUGCAAAUAAACAAACAGGUUCAUUUAAAUUGAUAGUGCAGAGACAAACACAGGACUCUUCCAGCCUUCGUUUUGUCAAUAUAGGACACGUAUACACCAUUGUAUAGUAUAAAUGAAAUGGUAAAUGUAUUUAGCACAGUGUCUAUCUAGCACACAGGAAGCAUCCGAUAUACAGCAGCUAUUAUUAUCAAAAUAUGUACUUGUCAAGCUGUGAGAGUGAACUAACAUGUGAAAAGCACUUAGAAUCGCACACGGCAGAUGCCAAUCACACUACAGCAAUCAUGUAUAUGCAAGUUCGUGUUCCCCUGUGCGCAGUGAGAGCAGAUAAACUGAAAUGUCAGAGUCUGGGGCAGAGAAAGGUUUAUUGCAAGGUCACACAAGGAGACGAGGUGGCUCAUGCCCUGAAAAGCCCUGAGCUCCCUGAAAGGUUUUGGCAGAGCAUUUUUAAAGGGCAGGUGAAGAGGAGGUCGAAAGGUAGUGAUCAGCUUGUGCACGGCCAAUUCUCUGAUUGGCUGAUGUUGAGACAGUCAGGUGGUAUCACAGAGGUUAUCAGUCCUUGGGCUCCAGGAGGCCUGAGGCUGUGUGCUCAUGGUCAGCAAGUACUUCCUCCAUCUGAGGGGGCAGGUGGUUCCCAUCUGCAAAACAGCUCAGGAAAUGUCCAUCAGAUACUAUUAUCUAGGUACUCCAGAUAGGGGCUAAAGCAGAGGGUAUGGCGGCGGGGGCCGUGGUGGUCUGUCCUGGGAAGGCCCCAUAGGGUUCUUGUUGUUCAGUCUCUAAGCCCUGUCCAACUUUUCGCAACCCCAUGAACUGCAGCACGCCAUGCUUCCCUGUCCUUCACUUCCUACCGGAGUUUUUGUUCAGAUUCACGUCCACUGAGUCGGUGAUGCCAUCCAACCAUAGGGUCCUGCUUGGUUAUAAUCAUGUGAUGAUGAUAAUGAGGAAGAGGGUAUAACGAUGAUGAGCUUCCAUUCCCUUUUCUCUCAAUAGAAUUGUCUUCCUAUGAUGAGACUUCAGGAGGAUUAAGGAGGUAAUCUGCUGCAAUGCAGGACACCUGGGUUCCAUCCAUGGGUUGGGAAGAUUCCCUGGAGAAGGGAAUGGCCACCCACUCUAGUGUUCUUGCCUGGAGAACUCCAUGGACAGAGGAGCCUGGCCAGGGUACAGCCCAUGGGUUCGCAAAGAGUCGGACACCACUGAGCAACUAUGCUUGCACUGAAGGAGGUCAGGAGGUGAUUCACCAUCAGACCUAAGGAUGAACUUACUAAUAUUAAAAGGAGACCUGGGUUCGAUCCCUGGGAUGA
ensembl:lncRNA